GAUAACCCACGCGGGAGUGCACACCGAGUGCGCUGAGAGGACGGCUGGGGCCGUCGACCGUAUGAACCUGACCGGGUAAUGCCGGCGUAGGGAGUGAACUGAUGACCGAC
rnacentral:ncRNA from 2 species